rnacentral:rRNA from 1 species
GACGAAGGGGGCUAGCGUUGUUCGGAAUUACUGGGCGUAAAGCGCGUGUAGGCGGCGCGGUAAGUCACUUGUGAAAUCUCUGAGCUUAACUCAGAACGGCCAAGUGAUACUGCAGUGCUAGAGUGCAGAAGGGGCAAUCGGAAUUCUUGGUGUAGCGGUGAAAUGCGUAGAUAUCAAGAGGAACACCUGAGGUGAAGACGGGUUGCUAGGCUGACACUGACGCUGAGGCGCGAAAGCCAGGGGAGCAAACGGG